GACUUAAAAUGGCUUCUUUUCCAUACGUCAGCUUGCCUGAGAUUUGAGAAUAGAUUUUCCAAAGCGCAGUGCUCCCAGACCACGGCAUAAUGUGGCCGGGUUUUGGGAAGUGCACAGAGCACCCCGGAGCUCCCCAGACCAGCAAUGGAAACAGGUGAAAGCACAUGGAGCAACUUUGCAUUAUCUGGCAAGGGAAAUAAUUAGGAGACUAAUGGACUGAAAAACUGUCCUAGAAACAAAAGCAUCCCAGCAGGGAGCACGCUGAACACUGGAGGAGCAGUGCCCUAUUGCAAAAGGCCAGCUUAGAUACGCAUGCACAACUCCCACUGAAAGCAGCAGGCCUGGUGCGCAUGUAUCUGGGGAUGGACUCUGCCCAAGUUCAACGGAGACUUCAUCAGCAAUUGGUAUUAAAGCAAGUUUCAAAAGAGACUCCCAAAUUGCAUUUCUACCUUGCAACUGAUGAGGUCACCCACAAACCAACCUCUGAGAGAGAAGCUCCAAGUUCUGCAGAGCUUGGAUCAAAAUCCAAACUUCCCCAACAUUCGGGGAAAACGGGUUUGCAGGUUGGUUCAGGCAUGUCCCUUACAUUAAGACAUAAGAAGAAAAUAUCCCAUAUCAAUGUGGGCACUGAGUACCAGCUGCUGUUGGAGCAGUUACUCUGAGCAUUUAAAAUCUCCAUCACAAUGUUGCAUUGACAGUUUUUUUAAUUUACACCGAUUAUAAUAUUUUGCACUUCUACCGCACCCUUCAUCAGAGGAUCUCAACGAGUCAUCACCAUUCAUAAGACACCCAUUAGGGAGCACUUUACAUGGCUUGAAGAGGGUCAUUACACUUCCCCAACAGAAGUGGCAAAAACAUUGGACUCCGUGGCUGUCAGGAGCUUUUGACAAAAGGACACAGAGAAAUCUAGGGACCCAGGAUUUCAUAGUUUAAUCAGCCUGGGCAAAGCCAUGUAUCCUGAAACUUGACGUGAUGCCAGGUUUACUUUUAAGUGUAAUUCCAGCAGGAAUGAACAUUGAAGCACACGGUACCUUAGAGAUAAGGGAUAUAGUGAGUUCACUUCACCCACUCAUGAAAUGCAGCUAUCCUGAGGGUGGAAGACAACAGCAAAGGAUUCAAUCCAACUCUGACUGAAACCAGAAGAUGAAGGCGCCAUGUUGCACAUAGCAACCCUAGACAGCAGGUGUCAUCUGAUCACGGCUGAUGGGACUAGUCGUCAUCAAGGCAAGGCUCACCCUCCAGGAGCCACGGACGACCUUGCCUACAGAAUGCCAGGUCAGCAGGGCCAGGAACUAGACAGCCAAUUAGGAGCAGCCCAAAUUUCUGCUCAACAUCCUUCCAGAAACGGGAACUCCCCAGCAACUCGGUUCCUCUUCCUCAUUCGUUACUUCUGCUCUCUGGGGUUUCCAUAGACUCAAGCAAGUGGGUAUGUUACAACGUACAUGAAUGUCGUUCAGACCAGAGGGCACACGGCCAGUGAGACGUAACAGACAGGUGCAUGUAACAGACUGGACCAAUGUCUGGAGGUGAGAGAGAAAAGCGUCUGACGUGUGACAGGGGAGAAGUUCAGUCUCUCCUAUUGCAGAUGCAGUGACAAGUGCUCCUAGGCCACUAGGCCCUAUACUCAGAGACAUAAGGAAACACUUUGCAGACCAGGCCCAGGGCUGAUUUCUUUUCUGAAGAUUCAUGAUUAUUAAGCCAAAUCCUGAGUUCUUUGCUCAGACCAACACAUGAAAAUGAAUGAGAAUUUUGCCUGAGCAAGGGCUGAGACAGAACCUUGCAUUUGGCCCCUUAUUAUUUAGUUGUAGAGUUCUGGAGAAAAGACUGUCAUCUUUGUUACCUGCCUGCGCACCAUCUAGCACAAUGGGGGCCUGACCCUCGACUGGGGAUCCUAGUAAUAAAUAAGAAGACAGGUAAGAUGCUGCUGCCCUGGAGUACUCCCAUUUACCAUCAGUAUCAGUAAGUGGAAUAAAAAGCAAGCUCCCUUUUCUGGAUUUGCAGUGACUGCCACAAAGGGUGAAUGUUUUCAUCUGAGCCACCCCCAUCCUCAAGCACAAAACGAGAAGUGCGCACCGGUAGCUAAGCCAUGGCUGGCUGGCUUGACAUGCAACUAACUCGACAGGUCUAAACAACACCCCCUCUGCUACCCCCAAAAUCAGUACAUUCAGCUCAGGGGUUGAGUGCCUUUGAAAUCUCUUUCCCACAUCUUGUUUAAGGAAAAAUUAUGAACACACUGCAUUUCACCCCUUGAGGCCAAACACUGCACCAUGCAGCACACCCUAUAAACUCUGAUGCAAGACACCUAGGUUGUUUCAGAUCGAUGCUAAAAUGGCUCACCAAGUCAAUGUGUGCAAGUGAUUUAACUGCGCUCAUGCCUUCAUUCCCCCAGUUGUCAAAUGGCAACAAUUCCUACUCACCUUGACAAGUAACUCUGCAACCCCGUUGCUGUGUGUAUGCACCAAAUCAUUCAUUAGAAACAAACUGCCAUACCCGAUCAGACACACUCAUGUACUCCAGAAGCUUGUGUAUCCAAAUAAAAGUUACAUUUAAAAACCAACACAUCUUGGGCAGUAGAAUUAAUGGGCAAACAGGGCCCCUGCAGAAUCCCAGAGUUAGAUGCUUCAUGUAACCUCUAGCCCCAAAUAGCAGUAGUACUUUAUCAGCUGGGAACGGUUUCUAAGUAACUGGCAUAUAGAUCUGAUUGAAAAAAGGGGGGAAAAACUGCACAACAAAUUUCAGAAGCUGCAUGUCAUAUGUAUUUAAAUUCCAAAGCCAAGCAUCCAUCUGUCCCAACGUACAUGUGUGGGAUUGUUUUUUCCUGAGAAGGGACUAAGUCACUGCCUAAUAGGAAUGGAGAUUCCAAUAGACUG